CCAUGGCAAGAGUUUCCACAGCAUAUCUAAGAAUAGCAAGCAGGAAUAACUAGCAUUUUCCAACUUAGUACAUCUUACUUCAUCUCAGUGAUGUCCCAAAUCAGCUGAGAUGGACCAUGUGAAGUUCAGCAAGGAGAAUUGUGAAGUCGUGAAUCUGUGAAGGAACAAUUGCAUGCACCAGAACUUGCUGAAGCCACCCAUUUGGAAAACAGCUGACAGAAGGCCCUGGGGAUCAUCAUCUUUGUGAGCCAAGCUUAACAAGCCACAAAGUAGAAAACAAGGUGCCAUCCAUCUUUCACAUAGACCACUUCGACCUGAACCCUGCAGGCCCAGCCCUGCUUGAUGAGUGAGAAGCUACUGCCUAUGAAAAGGCUGGUGAGUUAUUCACUUCUGUUAUCCCAUGCACAAUCCCUCAUUACCAAAACAUUAUUUGAGUCUUAUGUUGUUCAUCCAGACUGAGGAAGACCACACCUAGCUGCCUGAAUUACAGUGCUGACUAUAUACAUAUAAACAUUUAUUUGCCUGAGAGAAAAUAAGCUGGAGGGGGGGCUUCGAGGUUUUUGUUUUUCCAAAGG